rnacentral:rRNA from 1 species
AAUGAACGUUGGCGGCGUGGAUUAGGCAUGCAAGUCGUACGCUCCGCAAGGGGCGUGGCGUAAGGGUGAGUAAUGCGACGGUAACCAACCCCAAGGCCGGGCAUAGCCGCGGGAAACUGCGGGUAAUUCCCGGCGAGGUCCGUGGGGGACAUCCCCUGUGGAUCAAAAGUGCGAUUCUGCCUUGGGACGGGCCGUCGUGGUAUCAGGUUGUUGGUGGGGUAACGGCCCACCAAGCCGACGACGCCUACCGGGCGUGCGAGCGUGGCCCGGCACACUGGGACUGAGACACUGCCCAGACACCUACGGGUGGCUGCAGUCGAGAAUCUUCGGCAAUGGGCGAAAGCCUGACCGAGCGACGCCGCGUGGAGGAUGAAGGCCUUCGGGUUGUAAACUCCUGUCGAGGGGGACUAAGGUGCUGUGAAGAACAGCGCUUGAGGUAUCCCUGGAGGAAGCACGGGCUAAGUUCGUGCCAGCAGCCGCCGUAAAAC